UUUUUCUAAAAACAAGUAUUCUUAUUAAAAGGUAAAUAAUUUCUAAUUCAAAGGUCAUUUAAAGGUUAUAUAUAAAACAAAGUAAAAGGAACCAGGAAAAUAAGAUACUUAAAGAAAGUUAUAGAUAUAAAGAGAUAUUUUUGGUAAGAAAAGUUAAAAGAAAAAUAACGUUGUAUGACAGAGAAUUGUAUAUGGCAAAUUUUUUUCUUAAAAUAAAAUGACUGAUUGCUUUAAAAGAUGGAUGUUGGCCAAGCAUGGUGGCUGAUGCCUGUAAUACCAGCACUCUGGGGUGCUGAGGCAGGCAGAUCAUCUGAGGUCAGGAGUUCAAGACCAGCCUUGCCAACAUGGUGAAACCCCAUCUCAAUAAAAAUACAAAAAUUAGCCAGGCUUGGUGGUGGGCACCUGUAAUCCCAGCUACUCAGGAGGAUGAGGCACAAGAAUCACUUGAACGAGGCUUGAGAUCACUUGAACCCAGGAGGCAGAGGUUGCAGCAAGCCAAGGUUAUGCCACUGCCCUCCAGCCUGGGUGAUGGAGCCAAACUCUGCCCCAAAAAAGGAAGAAAAGGAAAAAAAGAGAUUUAGGUUUAGGAUAAACCAGACAGGUCAAGCAUGUUAUGAAUGAUCUAAGUUGUAAUAAAGUAACUAAAAGAGGAAUUUAUUUUUAAAAUGUUAUGAUUAAGUUGGCUAUAAUAAAAAGAGAAAAAUAAUGCUCUUUCUAGAAAUUGGACUUUGAUAUCAAAAAUACACCAAUACAAAAACUAAAGGAUUGGUUAAAACAAGACUUUUAAAAAAUAUUGACUUAUUAUUAAUGCAAGAGGUUUUUAAUUUUUAAGUUCUAUAAUCUGUUUCUAUUUUUAAAUUCUUCAGAUUGAUAUCUCACAAGUUCAACUUUUGCUGUACUCCAUUGCCUCAGCACUUCCUCUCUUUUAGGAAGUCCUGGGAUGGGAGGGAACUCUCUUUUGUUGGAUCCUAUAAUUGUUUUUAAGUCUAAUGUAAGAGAGAUAAGUUUUGGAAACAGGCAAAUGAAAAAAUCUUAUGGGAUCUACCUUUGUGUGUCUGCUAUGUCUGUAUGCUUCUAUGUGUCAUGUGGAAGUGAUAUUUCAUUACCAAACUAUAAAAAGAGCUCUAAUCAGUUGGCUUAAAGUAAGUGCUUGUCAGACUAAUAAAAGCUAGUUCAGAUGCCUUUUAGUUCACAUGACUUCAGUGAUAUUUGUACAUGGAGAAAAUUUUAAAGGUGAGAUAUGAGAACCUUUGACUCUUGGGCGGCCACGUGGUAGACCCAUCUUAAGGAGCUGCAGGUGGGCUGCAUUCAGCUACUAAAGGUAAAAGUUGCUUUGGAAUUUAGAGAAUUUACAGAUUGAUCCUACUCCCAAGGAUUUAGUUUGCCAGAUGUAUAAGAAAAUGCAGGCUAAUAAGGAAAAAACAAAAUAUUCCACUGGUUAUUGUUAUCUGUAAUAGCCAAAAUGAAAGUAAAAGAGUGCUGAAUUGGGCCUCAAGGCUGGACCAAGCUCAGAUGUGGGUCUGUCUCAGGCCACUAGCCUCAUAGCUACCCACAAAAGUUAAGAUUAAGCCAGGGCAACAAAAGUUACCUCUGAGACCUGUAGUUAUUAUACCAAGAUGAUAGUCAGGAUGAGGGAAGGGCAAAACCAAGUAACUAUUAAAAUUGGAGGGUAUAAUGUAAAAGAAUUGUUCCACUUUGUAGUUUGGUAUCACCAGCUUCCCGAGAAACCUUUAUUGUAAUGGAUUAUAAAAAUAACUACUUUAAGGACCAUGUCUAUAAUUUCAAAUGCUGCAGAAUGAAAGAGCAUGUUUGGGUUGAUGCAGGACCCACAGCUCACUAUUGAACAAUCUCUGAUGAAUGCAUGUGAUUCAGACUCACAGGAGGUUAUUCCUGAGAGAAUGACCAGCCUAGUAGACUGGAUAAAUGUCACUGUAAAGUCUGUUUACCCUGAGACGUGGACUUCUCAACUUUCAGUAUAAAAUGCCAAGUGGAGCACGCCAGAUAAAGUCACUGGUAUGCUCCGUAUGCAAACCAUGCAGGCCUGGCUUUAUGAUAACCAGGAUAUUCUCCCAGUGACUGUGCCUUACCCAGGUCGUGGUAAAUGCUGUGGUUAAGGGGGACCCUUCUACAUGGGAACCCCAGGUGACAUUAGUCCUGCACAAACAACCGACUGAGAAGCCUUAUCAAAUUUGCUGUCCCUCAUGGGUCUUACAAGUGCUAAUAAAACAGAGUAAUUAACAAAAAAAAAAAAAUGGGAAAGGCAAAACAGAGUCAAAAGACUAAUUCCAGAGGGGUGGAAAUCUUUAGAUGGUCCUUAAGAAAUGAAAUAAAUAAAAUGAAAAUUGAUGGGGUUAAAACAAAGGUUUUUACAAUGCUUAUCAAAGCUUGUGUGGACCAACGGGAGCCACUCUGGUCUCCCAAUGUUACUGGAAAGGGAUCUGGAUCCAGAUCCCAAGAGAGGGGGUUCUUGGAUCUCACGCAAGAAAGAAGUCAAGGCGAGUCCAUGGUAUAAAGUGAAAGCAAGUGAAGGAAUAAAGAAUGGCUACUCCAUAGACGGAGCAGAUCCAAGGGCUGCUGGUUGCCCAUUUUGUGGUUAUUUCUUGAUGAUAUGCUAAACAAGGUGGAUUAUUCAUGCCUCCACUUUUUAGAUCAUAUAGGGUAACUUCCUGACAUUGCCAUGGCAUUUGUAACUCCUAUGGUGCUAGUGGGAGUGUAGCAGUGAAGAGGACUUGGUCACUCUCGUCGCCAUCUUCAUUUUGGUGAAUUUUAACCAGCUUCUUUACCGCAACCUGUUUUAUCAGCAAGGUCUUUAUGACCUGUGUCUUAUGCUGACCUAUCUCAUCCUGUGACUAAGAAUGCCUUAAACUCCUAAGAAUGCAGCCAAGCACCUCUCAGCCUCAUUUUACCCAGCCCCCAUUUAAGAUGGAGUAGCUCUGGUUCAAAUGCUGAUGAUGCCAAUGGUAAAGGGGCCCACACUAGUUUUCUGCAUUUGCCCCAGAUUGAGGAGAUUUAAGAAAAAUCAAAAGGCGAAGGUUAUAACGAGAAAGCUGACAGUGCCUGGGGCAAUACUGACAGAAAUUAAGAUAAAACAUUGACAAAAGGAUCUGAGUCCCUUGGCUCAACUCCCUGCUGGGAAUCCAAAUCUUUUUUUGCCAGAAAAGGUAAAAUGGUUUGAGGGUGGAGAAGAAAAGUCCCUGGGACCAGAACAUAAGAAUGUAAAGAUUUAUAGGAUUAUGAAAUUUGAGAUGUUUAAACAGGUUUUAUUUAAGGUAAUUGCAACUCUCUUCCCUAAACAUCUUAUGAAAAUGGGUAUCAUAUCUGACUGGGGGAUGUUUCCCCUACCUAGUACUAUAAAACUGAAGGCACGCAAAUCUGCCUGUAGUAAUCUGUUCUCAUGCUGCUAAUAAAGACAUACCUGAGACUGUGAAAUUUAUAAAGGAAAGAGGUUUAAUGAACUCAUAGUUCCACAUGGCUGGGGAGGACUCAAAAUCAUGGCAGAAGGCAAAGGAGGAGCAAAGUCACGUCUUACACGGCAGCAGGCAAAGAGAGCAUUUGUAGGAGAAAUCCUCUUUAUAAAACCAUCUCUUGAGAUUUAUUCACUAUCAUGAGAACAGCACAGGAAAGACCCACCACUGUAAUUCAGUUACCUCCCACUGGGUCCCUCCCAUGACAUGGGAAUUAUGGGGGCUACAAUUCAAGAUGAGAUUUGGGUGGGGACACAGCCAAACCAUAUCUCUGCCCUUUGAGAAAUGUUAAUUGGACUUGCUAAAUGGAAAUAGUAGGAUUGCCUGAGCCCACAGAAUAUUGGGUAAACACUGAAGUGCUGGUUGCAACAAAUCCUCCACUUGAUAGCUCUUUGUGGAGUGUUCAUUGGGGCUUAUGGCAAAAGCUGUGAGCAUCUCCCAAUGACAACUACUGAGACUCUGGACUAGAGAAUUUCCCCUUGGGAACAUUUACUGCCUUGCUAUGGGAUGUUAACCAAAACUUCCCCUAUGCUAAUGGAAAUAAUGGUGCCCAAAAUAAUUCUGUGAUAAAAAAUGGUUUAUAUAAAAUCUUGCUACCUAGGGAGGCAAGGUGGAGGUACUCAUGAGCAGGGAGCCUCUUUUCUCCUAGGACUGAUCUAACUAUGUAAGCAGCUGCUAGAUUUUACAAUGCCUGAUAAACAGCUCUUAUCUGACAAGAGCUGCUUGCCUUGUGAACGGCAGUUCCAAGGUGAACAAAUGACAUCUUGUUUGGAAACCUGCUGCUCUGGUUAAAGACGAGGCAAGGAAGUCUUUUUCUUCUGAGUUAUUUAUAGUUUAGAGCAAUUGGGUAAAGAAUAUUUUUGUGAGCAAUUUUACCUUUCUCUCUGAGUUCUCCAAAGUUUGGAAACUGUUCUUGAGUAUUCUGAUUUUAUAUCAAUAUCGUUAUUUGCAUAAGUUUAGUAAGAGUCUUUUCUUUUAAAAUAAAAUAAUUGGAGACAUUGGUUAUUCUACCAACCUUUGCCUAGAAUAACAUAUUUUUAGCUAAAGUUUCAGCAAAGUCAACCUAAAAAGGCCAAUCAAUCAUUGCUGCACUUUAUGUAAAUAAUCAGGCCAAGUAUAAUAAGCCUAAAACUUAUUUUGCACACAAAUUGGUCUUACUAUAAUUUCUCUUUAGAGGGAUUAUAGGCAUGCACCACCACACCCAGCUAAUUUUCAGUUAAACAUUAUAAAAAGAUAUGCAUAGAAAACGUCUGUCAGGCUACAGCCAUGAAAACUGCCAUUUCACCAUGUUGGCCAGGUUGAUGUCAAACUCCUGGUCUCAAGUAGUCUGCCCACCUUGGCCUCCCAAAAUGCUGGGAUUACAGGUGUGAGCCACCGUGCCUGGCCCUAGAUAGUAAGUCUUUUGACCAAUUACCAAUCAGAAAAUCUUUGAAUCCACUUAUGACAUGGAAACCCCCCUGCUUCCAGUUGUCCUGCUUCGAAAGGACAAAAAUCUGCCUUUCUGGACCAAACUCAUGUACAUCUUACAUGUAUUAAUUAAUGUCUUAUAUCUCACAAAAAUGCAUAAAACCAAGCCUGACCACUUUGGGCACAUGUUAGCAGAAAAGGAGAGCUAGAGAAAGAUAGUGUUUCAAAGAAACAGUAUAACACCUGUUACUAGAUUUCACCCCUGACAUUUGUUUUUGAGUGAAGAUUGAAUCACGCGUGAUUUCUUGGCUCCAGUCAUCCUUUAGAGAGUACCAGGAUAUAAUUUUCUAAAUGCUUUUAGUUGGCACCCUAAUGAAAUAUGUUUCUUUUUUCUGGUCUGACACACAGAUUCUCUUUUGACUGUCAAAUUAUUAAUGUUAUUUAUCUCUCAUAGUUGUACUUCUUCCCAGAAAGCCAGAAUCAUGAUAUUCUGAAGACCAGAGGUGAUUGGACAAAGCCUGUAAAUCUCCCUUAUUUGGAAUCCCCUUGGGCCCCAUGUGUUUUUCACUGCUAAUGUCCUGCUGCUAAAACUAUGCCAGCACCCCACCUCUAGGCCCAGGGAUUAUCGUGGAAGAGGUGUUCCACUGAAACAGAGAACAGGGUGCAAUUCAAUGCCUGGACCUCCAAAAACAUGAGAUUGUAAGGGCUGGUUUUGAAGGAUAGAGUUAGUUCAGACCCUCCGAAUCAAGGUUGGGUACACAGGUGCCUAAACAGCAGGCAAAAUAUGGGACUCUGCCUCCUGGGUUACUAGAUUCGUGGCACCUUUUCAUUCCUCCCAAUCAUAAACAAUGUCCUGCUUCCCAUAGAAUUAACAAAAAAUUAUUACUAAAAGGAUAUAAAGAUACCUUAUGACAACUGGGUGUCAUAAGGUGUAUAUGUAUACAUAUAUAUAUAUAUAUAUAUAUAUAUAUGUAUAUAUAUACACAAACACACACACCCCUUAUAUAUAUCAUAAGGUAUAUAUAUUUUAUAUUUUAAAUAUACAUGUAAAGUAUAUAGAUUUUAUAUUUUAAAUAUAUAUGUAAAAAUAUAUAUUUAAAUAUGUAUCUAUCUGCAUAAAUUCAUAGCUGGGUGUAUUAUACCCAGUAGAGAUGGGGUUUCACCAUGUUGGCCAGAUUGAUCUUGAACUCCUGGCCUCAAGUGAUCCACCCGCCUCGGCCUCCCAAAGUGCUGGGAUUACAGGCAUGAGCCACCGCACCCAGCCUGAAGAGAUUUAUUCUGAGCCAAAUAUGAGUUACCCUGAGGUUAAGAGAUCGAGACCAUCUGGUCAGCAUGAUGAAACCCCGUCUCUACUAAAAAUACAAAAACUUAGCUGGGCACGGUGGUGCGUGCCUGUAAUCCCAGCUACUUAGGAGGCUGAGGCAGGAGAAUUGCCUGAAUCCAGGAGGCGGAGGUUGCGGUGAGCCGAGAUCGCGCCAUUGCACUCCAGCCUGGGUAACAAGCGAAACUCCAUCUCAAAUAAAUAAAUAAAUAAACAAACAAACAAAUAAAUAAAUCUCUUCAAAUAUUCCACAGACUUUGACUCUUUUUGUCAACAAGGAUUUUCUUUGUAUUCCACAAGCUAACCUAUUACACCAAAGAAACAUCUCUGCUAGAGCCUGCUGAGUGAAUGACACAGUGAGUUUUCCUGGGAGGAACUUUUCCUUGACAUAAAUCAACUUACCAUUGUGUUUCUCAAUGUCAAUGACAAAAGCCCUGGAGGAAGUGGAAAACGUGUCUAACUAUGUUCUCUUUGGGCUCUGGGGAUCUCCUACAGUAAGAAUCUGAUCUAGUCACAAACCCCAUUUCUGCUCUCUGGGGCUGGCCAUUGCCCAGUUCCUCCUGGGACCCCCUUGCUGCCUGGGGAUGUUUGGUGUUUCCAUGAGUUCCAGGCAUAUAGCCAGCCACAGGCUGAUGCGCUACAAAGGACAAAAGCUGCCCUUUUUCCAAGGAUCCCCUUGCAAAUUAAGUUGGUGGAUUUGGAGUCUGCUUUUUCUAUUAAAGAUGGCUGGGCUCAAGGCCACCCUUCCCUAUAAGAAAAACCUCUGCAUAGAGAGGACUCUUCUGCCAGAAUGUAGAAUGGGGUACGGUUCAAUGCCUGGACCUCCAAAAGGCCAUCUAUUGUUGAAGAGAAAAGCAAGCUGCAAAACAGGAUAUAGAUGUGAGCUCAUUUCUGUUUUUUUAAAACUACAUUAUAAAAAGAUACACAUAGAAAAUGCCUGUCGGGCUACAGCCACCCCUCUGAGUGGUGGGUUAAGAAUGCAGGGAUGAUGGGGAGGAGAUAGAGAUCUUUUACUUUUGACUCCAUUUAAUUGUGUGCUUUUUCUUUCAUAAGCAUGUCUUACUUUUAUACAAUAAGGAAUGUUUGCGGAAGGCAGGCUGUAAUGCUUCUGGCCUUUCUGUGGAGCUCAGAGGAGCACAGUUAAUUUUAAGAACAUUCUAUUAUAAAUAGUCACAAAGAUUAUUGUGUUUCAAACAAUAGAUGAUAUCUUUAAUAUUUAUCAGCCAAUAAGCACUUACUGAAUAAAAGUUAGAAGGAGAUCUUUUUUUUUAGAACCAAGUAUAAUGUGUCUAAACCAACCAACUAAGGAAGGACUCCACGUGUCCCUCCCUGUAAAAUAAAGCAACAUGAAGAGACCGGGGACCCAUCUGUCAGACUGGCUGUUAAAAUAUUCUGCCUCGUUGCAGAAAUAGACAUCCUCGAUUAUCGGUAUCAUCUUUCUGAGAUAGAUAGGAGGGACAGGCACUUACAGGCGACAAAUGCAGUAGCCGCCCCCCACCGCACCUUAUCCAUGGUUUCAGUUACCCAUAGUCAACAACGGUCCAAAAAUAUUAAGUGAAAAAUUUCAGAAAUAAACAAUUUGUUAAGUUUGAAAUGGUGCAUCCUUCUCAGUAGGAACGAAAUCUCACACCACCCUGCUUCAUCCCUUCUGAAUCACAAGAAAAAGGGUAAGUCCAGGACCUUAAGAUAUUUUAAUAGAGAGACCACAUUCACAUAACGUUUAUUACAGUAUGUUGUUAUAAUAUUAUUUAUUUAUUUGUUUGUUUGAGACGGUGUCACCCAGGCUGGAGUGCAGUGGUGUGAUCUCGGCUCACUGCAACCUUCACCUCCCGGGUUCAAGCGAUUCUCCUGCUUCAGCCUCCUGAGUAGCUUGGAUUACAGUUUCUAGGACAUUUGUUCAAAGAAUGAAUGAAUGAAGAUGUGCAUUCAACUGCUGUGGACGUGCAGAAGCUACUGGUGGAGCGAGGGGCUCUGCAGCUGUGCACAUGGGCAUGCGUUGUGGGAACAUGGCUGGUGCAUCGCCUGACUUCUGAGGAUGCUUAACAUUUCAAACUACAGCGAACUUCAUUAUAGAACCUGUUUUCCAAAGCACAUAUACAACAAGAUAGUGCUGUGUUGAGGAAGAAGAGGGGUGCACCUCGGAUAAUCACAAUCUUCACUCCACCCCCAACCUCCCACCCCCACAUUUUUGCCCCCAACAAGUAAGCCCACUGGAAAUAAGCCAGUAAGUAUUCCUCAGACUUCAUUUAGCUCCCUCUUCUCCAGGGAAAAGGGGGGAUGCAAAUACAGUUUUUUGUCUUGUCUGAAAAUGUGCAGUUUAGCGAGGCCCCAUGUGUUAUUUCAUGGCAGAUCCAGAAAAUAAAGUUUAAUGAUUAGAAAAGAAGGAAAUGAUUGUCAAAAUAUGACUUCAUAAGGCACAGUCCCUGGGGGCCUAUUUUGGCAGUAAAGAUAAUUAAGCUUAGAUUUUUAAAGGUCAGUUUUAACCAGCUCAUAAGGCAAAUGGCAACAGUAACAUCAUCCUAGCCCUGCGUAUCUAUGGCAACUGAGUUUCUCAGCUGUAAUUAAACGUAAAACUACAACUACUGCACUGGUCCCAGCACCAGCUGCAAGUAAAUACAGGAGAACAAAGUGGGCAAACUUGACACAUCCUUAUGGAAUAUUCUGGCCAUUUACUGGGAAAACAAGCGACCGAAGCUGCUGUGAAAGGUGCUGCUAAUGAGGCCAGGUUGCUGGCCCACCCACCUGCCUCUGGGGCCUCGUUUAAGAGGAAGACUGAUCCCAAAUCAAUUGUUUUUCAUUCAUACAGUGGUUGUAAAUUGGAGAGCAAAGAUAUCAAAGAAAGGUGAUUAUUUGGAUAUUUGAAUUAUCUUUUUAAAAGUAUUUUUUCUAACCUCAAAAAUGAUUAAAAAUGGCCAGGCAUGGUGGCUCAUGCCUGUAAUUCCAACACUUUGGGAGGCUGAGGCAGGCAGAUCACUUGAGGCCAGGAAUUUGAAACCAGCCUGGCCAACAUGAUGAAACCCCGUCUCUACUAAAAAUACAAAAAUUAGCCAGGAGUGGUGACAUAUGCCUGUAGUCCCAGCUACUUGGGGGGCUGAGGCAGGAGAAUCACUUGAACCCCGGAAGCGGAGGUUGCAGGGAACCGAGAUCGUGCCACUGCACUCCAGCGUGGGUGACAGAGCAAGACUCCAUCUCAAAUAAAAAAAGAAAGAAAGAAACCAACACAUAUCUAUUGUAGAAAAUUUCUAAAAUUCAGACAAAUGUCAAGAAGAAAAGUAAAAGUAGCUGAAGUCCCAAUUAGGUUAUUCGUUUCCUGUCUUUUUUCUGUGCGUGUAUUUCAUACAAUUAGGAUUAAGCAUAUAGUUUUGUGUCCUGUGCUUUUUUUCCAUUAAUAGUAGGUUAUGAUCUCUUUUGCAUACUAUUGUUCUUCAAAAGCACAGCUUUUAACAAUGGCAUAAAAUUAUACCAUAGAAAUCUCCUAUAAAUUCUCUUUGUACUUUAUCUCAUUUACUGCUCAUUGUGGGAUUAGUCAUUUUUACAGGUUGCCAGCAUGUCCUACAUAGGCAAUCCAUCUCCCCAGUUUAGGAGGGAGAGUUCUUGGCGUCUGUUGCACUGAUCUCACUCCACUUUGGAGUCUCAGCUGAAGCCAAAAUGGGAGUCCCAUUUUAGCAUCCUGUUCCAUGUGUAAAAUUGGAGGGAAUAACGAAGACAAAUUAAUAAAAAUACAACAGUGGUGGUAGACUUUCA